GUCAUUCAACCCAACCCAACUCUUCUUCAUCCAACUCAACAGCCAUCAGAAUGUGUCUGUUUUCUGUAUGAGUAUUUUAGUUGAACGGUUUCAGCUAUUUGAAAGAAAAAUGCCGACUUCAACAUUGGAUGCUAGAACAAGAGUAUUUUCUUUUGCAAAGGCAAAGAAUACUACAGUUGCUCAAAAGAUUAAAGAGGCAAUUUCAGCUGUUGGUGAUGGUAAUUCUUGUUUUUUCAUUAAAGAGGGUUUCAAGUCAUCCCUUUCAACUCUGAAUUGAACGUAAUGAAAAUAAAGGAGCAUCUGUGUCUGCAAUUGUAACAUGGAUUCUGAGUAACUACUCAAUUAUGGAUCCAAACCAACUCAAAAUACAAGUGAAAAAAUCAGUAAUCAAGUUACUAGAAAAAGGAGAUUUGCAAAGAAGUUGGACUUCUAAAGGUGCUCUUGGAUCAUCCGGAUCCUUUGUCCUGCCAAAAGAAAGAGUUAAAAAGACAAAUUACAUGAAUUCAAAUUCCAGAGCUCAAAUGAAAAAGUCUAUAACAUUGAAAGCAAAUACAAUACGAGAAUCUAAAAAAUUUCCAAAGAUAAGAGAAAGUGGAAUCAAAGCUGACAAAUUUUCAGUCUCUGAGUUUCAAAAGUUGCUGGAAAAGCAGACCUAGUUUUAUUCAACGUAAUAAAUUUUUUAAAAAAACAUUUCCUUAUUUAAGGAUGUAAUCCUGAGGAUGGAUUUAUGUAAACUCUUAUAAAGGUUUUAAUAAAUUUUCUUUUAAAAAAUA